ensembl:misc_RNA 7SK 7SK RNA
GGCUGUGAGGGAGAUCCGGCUGUGACAUCGGUGACACCACUGAUUGCCAGUGUUGAUUUGCCUGAUCUGGCUGGCUAGAUGGGUGUCCCUUUCCUUUCUCACUGCUCCAUGCGUGUUCCUGUCUUUGCACUCAGUCAAAGACGGUGACCUUCCCCGACAGAGGAGGGUUGUUCUUGGGUAAGAGUAUACGAGUAGCCAUGCUAUUCUGAUAGAACAUUCAAACAAGCUCUUAAGAAUAGGGAGAGGCCGGGUACAGGGGCAUGCACCUGUCCCAGCUACUCAGAAGUGGGAGGAUGGCUUGAGCC